rnacentral:tRNA from 1 species
CCGCUUUUAGCUCAGUGGUCGAGCGUUGGCUUUGGAAGCCACAGGUCGGUGAUUCGAGCCCACAGAGCACA